rnacentral:lncRNA from 1 species
CUGGCGGUUGGCAAUUCUGACUCUGCAUCGGGUGAAGUGAGUCAUGUAACAGGUUUGAAGGAAGCUGAAACAGAAAAGGAGGAGCAGAAAGAAAACAUCGAUACUGCUCCAGAAGAGAAGGGUCAAGCAACCAUCUUAAAAGAUGAAACGGCCUCGGAAGUUGAAGAUAUUGGUGUACAAGCAGAGGAAAAUUGUGAAUCAAAAGAGAAUUUGGAGGAGCAUAUUCCAACAGCAGCAGAUGAGGGUGAAGCAUUCUCGAAGGAAGCCGAUGUGCAAGCAGAGAAAAAUGAAAAAUCCUUCGACGUGGAAGAUACCAAUGUGCAAGCAGAGAAAAAUGUCGAAUCAAAUGAGAACUUGAAGGAGAAUAUUCCAAGAGCAGCAGAUGAAGGUGAAACAUUUCCGAAGGAAGCUGAAGCAGAAAGCAAGGAUGAGAUUAAAAAUGACGAUAUUGUUCAUCCAGAUAUUGAUGGAGACGGAGAUGAAAUCGAUAGUUCUGAAGAGAACUUGGAUAAGCAGAUUCCAGCAGGGGAAUGUGAAACAAGCUUGAAAGCAGCCGAAGCAGAAUAUAAGGAGCAGGUCAUUCAUGCUGAUAUUGCUCCUGAAGAGAAGGGUCUAGCAACCAUCUUAACAGAUGAAACACCCAAGGACUGUGUCGAAUCAAAAGAGAAAGUGGAGGAGCAGAUUACAACAGCAGAUGAAGGCGAAAAAAGUACUUAUAUUUCUCCUGAAGAUAGUGAAGUACAAGAAGAUGAAAAUUUUAUUACACUAGAGAAUUUGGAGAAGCCGAUUCGAACAACAUCAGGUGAACGAGAAACAGGCUUGGGAGAAGCUGAAGCAGAAAUUAAGGAGCAGGUCAAAAGUAUUGAUAUUGUUCCUGAAGAGAUGGCAACCAUCUCAACAACUGAGACACCCUUGGACGUUGAAGAUAUCGGUGUACAAGCAGAGGAAACUCUCAAAUCAAAAGAGAACGUGGAGGAGCAUAUUCCAACAGCAGCAGAUGAAGGUGAAAAAUUCUUGAAGGAAGCCGAAGCAGAAAACAAGGCGCAGAUUGACGAGGAAACUUUGAAUUCACAAGAAUCCUCAGACAAAGAAAAAGAAGAAGUGACUGAAAUUACAAACACAAAAGAUGACACUGAAAGGGAGGAGGUAAGAUCGGAAUAAACUUUUUUAUGAGUUUUUCUCUCUGGCUUAUCAUCUGUUUAGUUAUUGACCGAUAUGCAGGAUUCAUAACGUAUCACUGAUAAAUAUGAAUAUGCGAAAAUACGAUGGUUUAUUUUUAAUAUGGUACAAACGAUUUCUAAAAUCUAUUUUCUCCUUAUAUAUUAUGACGGUUUCAUCUCUAAUGUAGGUGCUUGAGACUACCAGCACGGAGCAAGAAACUGGAGAACAUGUGGUACACGAAAUUCAUAGAGUCCCAGAACCUCCUCGAGAUUCCAUUGAUAAAGAAACAAAUGAAGACAACUCCGCGGAAUAUCAGGUUUACCUGGACACAAACAUAAAGCCUACAAGUGCUGUCCUUUUUCUUCGUCUCCCAGUACAUAACCUAUGUUUUUUUUCCCUUCCAAUGUUAGGCAUGUACUGAGGUAGCUGAUGUGAGUACAAGUGCAGAGGAAAAGAACUUAGAGGAACAUGCCAUUCGGGAACUCUCUUCUCCACUGGUAGUAGAAGAAGCAACUAAAGAAAUCCCGGAAGUUGAAAGGCAGGACAAAAACAUUGAUACUGCACCUGAAGAAAAGGGUCAAGCAACCAUCUCAGCAGAUGAAAUGGCCUCGGAAGUUGAGGAUAUUGAUGUACAAUUAAAGGAGAAUCUUGAGUCAGAAGAGAACUUGGAGGAACAAUUUCUGAUAGCAGCAGAUGAAGGUGAAAUAAUCUCCAAAGAUGCCAAAGCAGAAAACCAGGAGCAGAUAAAAAAUGUUGAUAUUGCUCAUGAAGAUGUUGAUGCACAAGCGGAGAAAACUGUCAACUCAGAAGAGAACAUAGAUAAGCAGAUUCCUUCAAUAGCACAUGAAGGUGAAACAAGCUUGAAAGAAACCGCUGUCUUGAUUCUAAAAGAAGAGGUUAGCAUGAUAUAAGAAUUUUCGAUUUUUUUCAUUAUAGUCUAUUGCAUUACAUAUUCCAAUCAAGAAUUGAUAUCCCCUGCAGAAAAAGGAAGAAGAUACAGAAUGUAACGAGCCUUCUGAGGUAGCGAGUAUGACACAUGAAACACGAACUGAAACCACAGAGGACAUAACAGAGCCAAAUAAGGACCUCAAUGCUCCAAUUUCAGGAGAAAGCAACAAAACAUUUGUUGAAAAUAUUUCCACUCUCGCUGAGGUAUCUGAGAUGGAGACUGAGAAAAAUGGCCUGGCUGUCAGCAAUUCUGACUCUGCGUCGGGUGAAGUGAGUCAUGUAACAGGUUUGAAGGAAGCUGAAACAGAAAAGGAGGAGCAGAAAGAAAACAUGGAUACUGCUCCGGAAGAGAAGGGUCAAGCAACCAUCGUAAAAGAUGAAAUGGCCUCGGAAGUUGAAGAUAUUGGUGUACAAGCAGAGGAAAAUUGUGAAUCAAAAGAGAAGUUGGAGGAGCAUAUUCCAACAGCAGCAGACAAGGUUGAAACAUUCUCAAAGGAAGCCGAGGCAGAAAAUGAGGAGCAGAUAAACAAUGGUGAUGUUGCUGCUGAAGAGAAGGUUUCGGAAACCAUCUUAACAAAUGAAAGAACCUUCGACGUGGAAGAUACCAAUGUGCAAGCAGAGAAAAAUGUCGAAUCAAAUGAGAACUUGGAGGAGACUAUUCCAACAGCAGCGGAUGAAGGCGAAACAUCCCUGCAGGAAGCUGAAGCAGAAGGCAAGGAUGAGAUUAAAAGUACUGAUAUUGCUCAUGCAGAUACUGAUGGACAUGGAGAUGAAAUUGAUAAUUCUGAAGAGAACUUGGAUAAGCAGAUCCCAGCAGGCGAACGUGAAAUAAGCUUGAAAGCAGCCGAAGCAGAAUAUAAGGAGCAGGUCAAACAUGCUGAUAUUGUUCCUGAAGAGGAGGGUCUAGCAACCGUCUUAACAGACGAAACACCCUUAGAUGUCGAGGAUAUUGAGGUAAAAACUGACUGUGUCGAAUCAAAAGAGAAUGUGGAGGAGCAGAUUCCAACAACAGUAGAUGAAGGCGGAAAAAGUACUUAUAUUUCUCCUGAAGAUAUUGAAGUACAAGCAGAUGAAAAUUUUAUUACACUAGAGAAUUUGGAGAAGCCAAUUCUAACAACAUCAGGUGAACGAGAAACAGGCUUGGGAGAAGCUGAAGCAGAAAUUAAGGAGCAGGUCAAAAGUAUUGAUAUUGUUCCUGAAGAGAUGGCAACCAUCUCAACAGCUGAGACACCCUCGGAUGUUGAAGUUAUCGGUGUACAAGCAGAGGAAAGCCUCAAAUCAAAAGAGAGCGUGGAGGAGCAGAUUCCAACAGCAGCGGAUGAAGAUGAAAGAUUCUUGAAGGAAUCCAAAGCAGAAAACAAGGAGCUGAUCGACGAGGAAAAUUUGAAUUUACAAGAACAAGUGACUGAAAUUACAAACACAAUAGAAGAUGACACUGAAAGGGAGGAGGUAAGAUCGGAAUAAAUUUUUUUAUGAGUUUUUCUCUCUGGCUUACCAUCUGACAAGUAGUCUCCCUACACGGUUUUGUUAUUGAUUAAGAUGCAAGAUUCAUAACGUAUCACAGAUGCAUAUGAACAUGCGAAGAAACUAUGUUUUAUUUUAAAAUGGUAAGAACGAUUUCUAAAAUCUAUUUUCUCCUUAUAUAUUAUGAUGGUUUCAUCUCUAAUGUAGGUGCUUGAGACUACCAGUACGGAGCAAGAAACUGGAGAACAUGUGGUACACGAAAUUCAUACUGUCCCAGAACCCCCUCGAGACUCCAUUGAUAAAGAAACAAAUGAAGACAACUCCGCGGAAUAUCAGGUUUACCUGGACACAAACAUAAGGCCUACAAAAGUGUGAUCCUUUUUCUUCGUCUCCCAGUACAUAACCUUUGUUUUUUUUUUCCCUUCCAAUGUUAGGCAUGUACUGAGGCAGCUGAUUUGAGUACAAGUGCAGAGGAAAAGAACUUAGAGGAACAUGCCAUUCGGGAACUCUCUUCUCCACUGGUAGUAGAAGAAGCAACUAAAGAAAUCCCGAAAGAAGAAGAAACCUACCCCACGCUUCUAGAAGAAGAGGUAAUCUAGCAUUCAAUAUCAAAUUUUUAGAUUAAAAUACACUAUAGUAUUAUCUUGCAAAUUGAAAUUUACAACUCAUAUCGGCAACAGGAAAAGGAAGGGCAUGCAACAUGUAACAAGCCCAAUGAGGAAUAUGAGGCAGAGAUUGAGAAAAAUAUUCAGGAGAAAGAUGGCAACACAGUUAGCAAUUCUGAAUCUCUGUCUGGAGAACUGAGUCAUGUAACAGCCUUGAAGGAAUGUGAAACAGAGAUUGAAAGGCAGGACAGGAACAUUGAUACUGCUCCUGAAGAGAAGGGUCAAGCAACCAUCUCAGCAGAUGAAACAGCCUCGGAAGUUGAGGAUAUUGAUGUACAAUUAAAGGAGAACCUUGAGUCUAAAGAGAACUUGGAGGAACAAUUUCCAACAGCAGCAGAUGAAGGUGAAAUAAUCUUGAAAGAAGCUGAAGCAAAAAACCAGGAGCAGAUAAAAAAUGUUGAAAUUGCUCAUGAAGAUGUUGAUGCACAAGCGGAGAAAACUGUCAACUCAGAAGAGAACAUAGAUAAGCAGAUUCUGCCAAUAGCACAUGAAGGUGAAACAAGCUUGAAAGAAACCGCUGUCUUGAUUCUAAAAGAAGAGGUUAGCAUGAUAUCAGAAUUUUCGAUUUUUACAUUAUAGUUCAUUGUAUUACAUAUUCCAAUCAAGAAUUGGUAUCCCCCUGCAGAUAAAGGAAGAAGAUACAGAAUGUAAUGAGCCUGCUGAGGUAGCGAGUAUGACACAUGAAACACGAUCUGAAACCACAGAGGACAUAACAGAGCCAAAUAAGGACGUCAAUGCUCCAAUUUCAGGAGAAAGCAACAAAACAUUUGUUGAAAAUAUUUCCACACUCGCUGAGGUAUCUGAGACGGGGACUGAGAAAAAUGUUCAGGAGAAAAAUGGCCCGGCUGUCAGCAAUUCUGACUCUGCGUCAGGUGAAGUGAGUCAUGUAACAGGUUUGAAGGAAGCUGAAACAGAAAAGGAGGAGCAGAAAGAAAACAUUGAUACUGCUCCGGAAGAGAAGGUUCAAGCUACCGUCUUAAAAGAUGAAAUGGCCUCGGAAGUUGAAGAUAUUGGUGUACAAGCAGAGGAAAAUUGUGAAUCAAAAGAGAAGUUGGAGGAGCAUAUUCCAACAGCAGCAGACAAAGUUGAAACAUUCUCAAAGGAAGCCGAGGC